AUAGCGUAUAUUAAAGUUGUUGCAGUUAAAAAGCUCGUAGUUGAAUUUCGGGAUCAAUUAAUUGGUCGUGCCUCUGGUACGUACUGAUUUUAUUGGUUUCUCCCUUCUGACGAACCAUGAUGUCAUUAAUUUGGUGUCGUGGAGAAUCAGGACUGUUACUUUGAAAAAAUUAGAGUGUUUAAAGCAAGCUAACGCUUGAAUACAUUAGCAUGGAAUAAUGAAAUAGGACGUUUGAUCCUAUUUUGUUGGUUUCUAGGAUCGACGUAAUGAUUAAUAGGGAUAGUUGGGGGCAUUAGUAUUCAAUUGUCAGAGGUGAAAUUCUUGGAUUUAUUGAAGACUAACUACUG
rnacentral:rRNA from 1 species